rnacentral:rRNA from 1 species
CCCGCACAAGCGGUGGAUGAUGUGGAUUAAUUCGAUGCAACGCGAAAACCUUACCUACGCUUGACAUGUCAGGAACCUCGAAGAGAUUUGAGGGUGCCCGAAAGGGAACCUGAACACAGGUGCUGCAUGGCUGUCGUCAGCUCGUGUCGUGAGAUGUUGGGUUAAGUCCCGCAACGAGCGCAACCCUUAUCAUUAGUUGCUACGCAAGGGCACUCUAAUGAGACUGCCGGUGACAAACCGGAGGAAGGUGGGGAUGACGUCAAGUCCUCAUGGCCCUUAUGCGUAGGGCUUCACACGUCAUACAAUGGUCGGUACAGAGGGUUGCCAACCCGCGAGGGGGAGCCAAUCCCACAAAGCCGAUCGUAGUCCGGAUUGCAGUCUGCAACUCGACUGCAUGAAGUCGGAAUCGCUAGUAAUCGCGGAUCAGCAUGUCGCGGUGAAUACGUUACCCGGGUCUU